rnacentral:rRNA from 1 species
CCCUUAGAUGUUCUGGGCCGCACGCGCGCUACACUGAUGCAUUCAACGAGCCUAUCCUUGACCGACAGGUCCGGGUAAUCUUUGAAUCUGCAUCGUGACGGGGAUAGAUUAUUGCAAUUAUUAAUCUUCAACGAGGAAUGCCUAGUAGGCGCAAGUCAUCAGCUUGCGUCGAUUACGUCCCUGCCCUUUGUACACACCGCCCGUCGCUCCUACCGAUUGGGUGUGCUGGUGAAAUGUUCGGAUCGGCCGUUUGUCGCGGUUUCCGCGUCAUGUGGCUGCGACGUUCAUUAAACCCUCCCACCUAGAGGAAGGAGAAGUCGUAACA